rnacentral:tRNA from 1 species
UCGAUGGUCGAGUGGUCCAAGACGUGAGUUUUAAGCUCUCAUCCGGAAGCGGGCGUGGGUUCGAACCCCACUCGGUG